AGUUUCUCUAAUUCUUCGUCAAUUUAUCCCUUUCUGCACCCAUUGUAUAAAAAAAAUUUAAUCAACGUGUGGUUCGUUUGAUCUCAGUACUUCAUUGGUUAAAAUCCGAUUAUGACGUCGAAUUUUCUUGCUUUCCUCUGAAUUUCCUAUUGUGACGGCAUGAACAAAGGCGACCAUGCCUGAUGACGUCACAUAGAAAGAACACACCUUUUUGCAGAUCAUUCGAAAAGAAGGAAUAAGUUUGCCUGCAUGAUGUUAGAAAAUCAUUAGCGAAACAGAUUUCACC
rnacentral:lncRNA from 1 species